GAUCAGUAUAGGUUGUGUUCAAAUACCAGUCGUUUUAUUUUAUUCUUUUUGAGGUAGUAAGUAUUAAAUUCAGUCACACGCCGGCCCUUUUAAAGAGUUUUAUUAAUAAGCUGGAGAGAUGCCCACAGUUAAAGACCACUGGCUGCUCUUCCAGAGGACAGUUUUCAGUACUCACAAGGGAUCACCACCAUCUUUAACUCCAGUUCCAUGAGAUCUGAUGCCUUCUGCUCUCCAGAGGCACUGGGCAGGUACAUGGUAUACAUACAUGCAUACAUGUAGGCAAAACACUUAUACAUAUAAAAUUAUUUAAAAAGAUUUAAGUAUAGGGUUUCAUGCAGUCCAGGCUGACCUCAAACUCUCUCUGUCAUCUGAUCUUCCUGCCUCCUCUCCUCAGGUUCUAGGAGACUGGCAUGCUCCACUAGGCUUGAUUUUUUUUUUUUUAAUGCUGUGCUUUCGAAUGACCUCAGAGCUUGGUCCAUGCUAGGCGAGCACUGUGCCCCCUGAGCCACAUCUCCCAGUCUCUCUAGGAGGGGGGAUUUUUUUUUAAUAGAAGGGAUUUGAGCAUACGUAGAUUUGGUAUGAGAGGUGUCCCUGAAAUCAGUCCCCUUGAGGGUAUAGAAGGACAUCAUAUAUCAGGGAUGUCCACACUUGUUGCUUUUACACCAGACAAAACUGGGCCACUGAAUUAACACGUCUCCAAUUGUUCAGCCACACUUCCAGCACCUGCCUCUGUCAGCUGGCAGGUGUGAGGAGGUAGCCCGGAAGCAGAGCCCGUGGAAAGAUCUUUUAAAAUUAAUGAACAUAAAUACAUCUGGACCAAAACACCGUUUAGGCACCUUUGAUGUUGAGAUCUAAAGCGCCCGUCUCAAAUUGUCAAACUUUUGAGAGCUGACAUAACUCUGUGACUGGAACAUUCCACGCUCGAACUCCUGUGUGACAGGUGGUCAAAUGUGGCUGUAGCAAAAUAUUGUAUGAAAUUACCUUCAGACCAUGUGUAUGAGGAAUAUACAUGAAAAAAAAAACAUAAAUGAGUUGAAUGUUUAAACCUGGCUACGAUUCCCUAGCUAGCUUGCUGUGUAAGUGAAAUAUUUCAAAAUGAUAAUAAUAAUAAAAAGAAUCCCACAAAUGUAAAACAUUUGUGGUCCAAGCAUUUUGUAAAAACUCUGCUAAACCUGUAUGACUUUGGUAAAAACUGUAAACAAAACAAAACAAAACAAAACAAGACAGAACAAAACAAACAAAACCAAAAACCAAAAACAACCAAAAACAUCAAAAAAUAAAACAAACC
rnacentral:lncRNA from 1 species